GUGAAGAAUGUCGUCUUCGUUCUAGCAUACGAGAGAUAUUUCAGUGAGCAAGAGUACAAGCAAGUCAUCAAACGCACGAAGAGAGGAAGCCGUGCGGCCGGUUCCACACUUCUCCUCAACCUGGUGACUGAGAAAGAGCCGCGGGUCCUUAAACUGAUAUGGAAAUGCUUCGUAAAAAUGCACCACCUGCUCCCCGAACUGGAGGAGUUGCUGAAAGCAAUGGGGGAAGAAGGUUCUGAUCUGAUCGAAUUGUUCAAAAACAUGAAGGUUUCCUGGGAACUACCUGCUGAUCUGAA